GACGAACGCUGGCGGCGUGCUUAACACAUGCAAGUCGAGCGGUAAGGCCCUUUCGGGGGUACGACGAGCGGCGAACGGGUGAGUAACACGUGGGUGACCUGCCCUCAGCUCUGGGAUAAGCCCGGGAAACUGGGUCUAAUACCGGAUAUGACUUCAUGACGCAUGUUGUGGAGUGGAAAGCCUUGUGCGGCUGAGGAUGGGCCCGCGGCCUAUCAGCUUGUUGGUGGGGUGANGGCCUACCAAGGCGACGACGGGUAGCCGGCCUGAGAGGGCGACCGGCCACACUGGGACUGAGAUACGGCCCAGACUCCUACGGGAGGCAGCAGUGGGGAAUCUUGCGCAAUGGGCGAAAGCCUGACGCAGCGACGCCGCGUGAGGGAU
rnacentral:rRNA from 1 species